GGAUGUUGGAAUGGCUCAAUC
rnacentral:miRNA from 1 species